rnacentral:rRNA from 1 species
UGGGGAAUUUUGGACAAUGGGGGAAACCCUGAUCCAGCCAUCCCGCGUGUGCGAUGAAGGCCUUCGGGUUGUAAAGCACUUUUGGCAGGAAAGACACGUCAUGGGUUAAUACCCCGUGAAACUGACGGUACCUGCAGAAUAAGCACCGGCUAACUACGUGCCAGCAGCCGCGGUAAUACGUAGGGUGCAAGCGUUAAUCGGAAUUACUGUGCGUAAAGCGUGCGCAGGCGGUUCGGAAAGAAAGAUGUGAAAUCCCAGAGCUCAACUUUGGAACUGCAUUUUUAACUACCGGGCUAGAGUGUGUCAGAGGGAGGUAGAAUUCCGCGUGUAGCAGUGAAAUGCGUAGAUAUGCGGAGGAACACCGAUGGCGAAGGCAGCCUCCUGGGAUAACACUGACGCUCAUGCACGAAAGCGUGGGGAGCAAACAGG